AGCUCCAAGAGCGUAUAUUUAAGUUGUUGCAGUUAAAAAGCUCGUAGUUGGAUUUCGGGCGCGUCGGACCGGUCCGCCGUUGCGGUGUGCACUGGUCUGGCUCGUCUUCUGGUCGGUGACGCGGUCCGUGCCUUUACUGGCGCGGUCGCGGAGUCGGCGCUGUUACUUUGAAAAAAUUAGAGUGUUCAAAGCGGGCUUACGCUUGAAUAUAUUAGCAUGGAAUAACACUAUAGGACUCCGAUCCUAUUUUGUUGGUCUUCGGGACUGGAGUAAUGAUUAAGAGGAACAGUUGGGGGCAUUCGUAUUUCAUUGUCAGAGGUGAAAUUCUUGGAUUUAUGAAAGACGAACUUCUGCGAAAGCAUUUGCCAAGGAUGUUUUCAUUAAUCAAGAACGAAAGUAG
rnacentral:rRNA from 1 species